rnacentral:rRNA from 1 species
GGGGUGCUCGAGUGGCGAACGGGUGAGUAACACGUGAGUAACCUGCCCUUGACUUUGGGAUAACUUCAGGAAACUGGGGCUAAUACCGGAUAGGAGCUCCUGCUGCAUGGUGGGGGUUGGAAAGUUUCGGCGGUUGGGGAUGGACUCGCGGCUUAUCAGCUUGUUGGUGGGGUAGUGGCUUACCAAGGCUUUGACGGGUAGCCGGCCUGAGAGGGUGACCGGCCACAUUGGGACUGAGGUACGGCCCAG